UACGAAGGGGGCUAGCGUUGUUCGGAUUUACUGGGCGUAAAGCGCACGUAGGCGGGUUGUUAAGUCAGGGGGUGAAAUCCUGGAGCUCAACUCCAGAACUGCCUUUGAUACUGGCAACCUAGAGGCUGGAAGAGGUUAGUGGAAUUCCCAGUGUAGAGGUGAAAUUCGUAGAUAUCAGGAAGAACACCCGUGGCGAAGGCGGCUCUCUGGGACGGUACUGACGCUGAGACGCGAAAGCGUGGGGAGCAAACAGG
rnacentral:rRNA from 1 species